UCGAAUAAACUUGAACAGGCUGUUGCUGGUCCCAUGGGAUAGUGUGCACGCUUGUCAUCUUUGUUAUUUCUCCAACUGUGCACAUAUUGUAGACCUGGAGCCGGUUUGGAUUUUUGUUCCGAGUUGGGACUGCUGUGCUUCACAUCGAGGUCAGCUUUUCCCUUUUGCAAUCAGGUCUAUGUCAUUAUUUUUUCACAACCUGUUUGGAAUGACUAUAAAAUAAAUAUAAUAA
rnacentral:misc_RNA from 1 species